GUUGGGCAAGGUUUUUGAAUGGAUGGAUGAUAAAUUAUGUGAAGAAGUUUAUUAUUUUUUGAAAAGAAUGAUGUAAUGACGUUAAACUUGAGUAGCUUUUAUUUUAGUUCUUUGUUUGACUUUUGAAUUGACAUUAUCUACAUACUAAAACCCGGUGGAAAAGUACUGUUUACCAGCAGUGAAAUGAUGGAAUUGCCCUCAAUUAGCUUUACUUGCGCAGUUGUUUUUCCGUCUUGGCACAGUGAAAUUACGCAUUUGUCCACCUUGGCCACGCGUCCAUCAUCGUCGGAACCUCUACUUCGACUGCAGCUUCUCGAUUUUUCCAUCCGUUUCCAGUUCUCUCUUUCGAAAAUCUCUGCUUCCAUUGCUCUGAACUUGCCUUCUGUCACUCUCAAACGCCGGGUUGUACUCGGCGAAGUCUGUGAAGGACCAAUAAAUGGAUUCGAAGAUGAACCAAGUCAAGGGACACGGAGCUCAGAAUAUCGGAGCUAUAAAUUGGCUGCCUUGAAAUUUUUUUAUUUAAUUAAUUUCAACAGAUUAGAGAUUUUAAUCUUCUGCACUUCAAAUUUAAAGCACGCUGUAUUACAGAGCAUACAAUUCCUUGCUGGCUGUUAGAUUUUUCAAGAGGGUUUUGCCUUUCUGAAGAGUUACGUUCAAGGAUAAAAAUGAGUGUUCCAAAGAAAGCUAGGAGUUCUGGUGAUGAAAUUAAAUUUAUCUUCUUGGUUAUCACAAUACAAUAGGAAGAUGGAUUAGAGAGCAGCGUCUAUCAGGCAAAUAUGAUUGAUGAACUUGACGUUUAUCCCAUUAACUUUCUUUGCAAUGCAUGACGUGUUUUUGGUUUUCUAGCUGCUGAGUAUGGAACGCCAAAGAACCCCCUUAAUCAGCUACAUAUCAACAUCAACGGUGUGUUGCCAAUUCAAUUUGCAAUAGUGUUUGAAAAUGCUCAAGGAGAAGGAGAGGUCAGAAAUUUCGUUUGGAUUUUAUACUUUGGAAAAUGUUAUAUUCCUGCCAGAGGUCAAAUAGGUUCUGUAUUAGUUGUGUGUGUUGAUGUGGGGGUGUUGGGUUGUUAGAGUUGAUCCUAGCUGAUUUUGAUAUUAUUGAUUCCUCAGUGUCAUUAAGUCGAUUGAAUUCGAUUUUUGAAGCUUGGGAAGAGGAUUGGGUCUCAAAGUUUGAUUUUCAUGUGUUUGGUUUUUGGUUUAGUCAAUUCUUUACUGAAAAGUUGUAUUCCAUUGAGCUACGAUUUUUUGUACGUCGGCUUUAUCGAUUCAAUCUUUGGUACAUGAACAUCUUUCUAAUGUUUUCAAUGUAAAUAUUAUUAAUCUUCUA